rfam:Gossypium raimondii Chr11_contig_984, whole genome shotgun sequence.
AAUAGGAGAAUGACAAAUCAGAUUUUUCCUCUUGAUUUUCAACUUUUUCCUCCUAAAAAAUUCAAAUCCAACUAAAAAUGCUAAAAAUCAGGACAAAAAUCUGAUUUGUCAUUCUUGUAUU